AGGACGAACGCUGGCGGCGUGCCUAACACAUGCAAGUCGAACGCGCUCCAUUCGGUAGCAAUACUGAUGAAGAGCGAGUGGCGAACGGGUGAGUAGCACGUGAGCAACCUGCCCCGAAGACUGGGACAACACCGGGAAACCGGUGCUAAUACCGGAUAUCCCUAUCGGACCGCAUGAUCUGAUAAGGAAAUGGAUUCCGCUUCGGGAGGGGCUCGCGGCCUAUCAGCUAGUUGGUGGGGUAACGGCCCACCAAGGCAUCGACGGGUAGCUGGUCUGAGAGGACGAUCAGCCACACUGGGACUGAGACACGGCCCAGACUCCUACGGGAGGCAGCAGUGGGGAAUCUUGCGCAAUGGGCGAAAGCCUGACGCAGCAACGCCGCGUGGAGGACGAAGGCUUUCUGAGUUGUAAACUCCUUUCAGCAGGGACGAUAGUGACGGUACCUGCAGAAGAAGCACCGGCCAACUACGCGCCAGCAGCCGCGGUAA
rnacentral:rRNA from 1 species